rnacentral:lncRNA from 1 species
UUGCUCGCGUUUUCACGUUUUUCUUGCUGGCUGUGCAUGGAUUUUGAGAGUUUUUCUGGUAUUGCAUGGAAGCGUGUUUGUGGCGCGAUCUGGACCGCUAGAUCGCGUGUCCAGAUUCCAUCAGGUCCGUCCGCUUUCUUUUUGUCUUUUUGUGCAUUAAGUGGGAGCUGACCGGUCCAAAUUAGGUCACAUGCAUUUUUUAAUGUCACAUUUUUAUUGCUGUCACACAAUUAAAUCACGUUGGAUCUGGGCCUCACGCGCACUGCUACCAGCACCCCCCAGCUUGGCCCAUUUCCAUUAUUUCAUUUCAUUUUUUAUUCAUUUUUUUUAUUCUGUUUUGAUUUAGUUAAUAAAAAUAUUUUAUUUAUU